UACGUAGGGGGCUAGCGUUGUCCGGAAUCAUUGGGCGUAAAGAGCGUGUAGGCGGCCCGGUAAGUCCGCUGUGAAAGUCGGGGGCUCAACCCUCGAAUGCCGGUGGAUACUGUCGGGCUAGAGUGCGGAAGAGGCGAGUGGAAUUCCUGGUGUAGCGGUAAAAUGCGCAGAUAUCAGGAGGAACACCGGUGGCCGGAAGGCGGGUCUCUGGGGCCGAUACUGACGCUGAGGAGCGAAAGCGUGGGAGCGAACAGGAUAGAU
rnacentral:rRNA from 1 species